UUUCAAAAACAUUGUCCCAUGAAAUAUAUAUAUGGGAUAAUACCUGCCCAGUGACAAAUGUUUAACGGCCGCGGUAUCCUAACCGUGCAAAGGUAGCAUAAUCAUUUGCCUAUUAAUUGUAGGCUAGAAUGAACGGGUUAACGAAAUAAAGACUGUCUCAAUUAGCCACCUAAAAAUUAUUCUCUACAUGAAGAAAAGUAGAUACUUUCGAGGGACAAGAAGACCCUAUAGAGCUUAACUUAAUUAUAGAAAUACACUAUAAAAACAUUUGGUUGGGGCGACCUUGGGAUAAAAAUCACCCAAUAAAUAAAAGAUAUAUUAAUCAAGUAAAUGACCCUAAAAUAGAUCAUUAGACCAAGCUACCUUAGGGAUAACAGGCUAAUCCUACUCAAGAGUUCUUAUCAACAGUAGGGUUUGGCACCUCGAUGUUGGCUUAAGGUAUCAAUAUAGCGCAAAAGUUAUAUAAAGAUGGUUUGUUCAACCAAUAACACCUUACGUGAUCUGU
rnacentral:rRNA from 1 species